rnacentral:rRNA from 1 species
CAGUAGCCACGGUAAUACGAAGGGUGCAAGCGUUAAUCGGAAUUACUGGGCGUAAAGCGUGCGUAGGCGGUGAGCUAAGUCUGCUGUGAAAUCCCCGGGCUCAACCUGGGAAUGGCAGUGGAUACUGGCUCGCUAGAGUGUGUCAGAAGAUGGUGGAAUUCCCGGUGUAGCGGUGAAAUGCGUAGAGAUCGGGAGGAACAUCAGUGGCGAAGGCGGCCAUCUGGGACAACACUGACGCUGAGGCACGAAAGCGUGGGGAGCAAACAGGAUUAGAUACCCCCGUAGUCCCUGUCUCUUAUAC